rnacentral:tRNA from 1 species
CCUUCGAUAGCUCAGUUGGUAGAGCGGAGGACUGUAGUGAGAUUAAAAGGUAUCCUUAGGUCGCUGGUUCAAAUCCGGCUCGAAGGA